UGGGGAAUAUUGCACAAUGGGCGAAAGCCUGAUCCAGCCAUGCCGCGUGGGUGAAGAAGGCCUUCGGGUUGUAAAGCCCUUUUGUUGGGGAAGAAAUCCUGCUGGCUAAUACCCGGCGGGGAUGACGGUACCCAAAGAAUAAGCGCCGGCUAACUACGUGCCAGCAGCCGCGGUAAUACGUAGGGCGCGAGCGUUGUCCGGAUUCACUGGGCGUAAAGGGCUCGUAGGCGGCCUGUCGCGUCGGCUGUGAAGGUCCGGAGCUCAACUCCGGGAUUGCAGCCGAUACGGGCAGGCUAGAGGGCGGUAGAGGGGAGUGGAAUUCCCGGUGUAGCGGUGAAAUGCGCAGAUAUCGGGAGGAACACCAGUGGCGAAGGCGGCCACCUGGACGGUGACUGACGCUGAGGCGCGAAAGCGUGGGGAGCGAACAGGAUUAGAUACCC
rnacentral:rRNA from 1 species